UACGUAGGGCGCAAGCGUUAUCCGGAAUUAUUGGGCGUAAAGAGCUCGUAGGCGGUUUGUCGCGUCUGCCGUGAAAGUCCGGGGCUCAACUCCGGAUCUGCGGUGGGUACGGGCAGACUAGAGUGAUGUAGGGGGAGACUGGAGUUCCUGGUGUAGCGGUGAAAUGCGCAGAUAUCAGGAGGAACACCGAUGGCGAAGGCAGGUCUCUGGGCAUUAACUGACGCUGAGGAGCGAAAAGCAUGGGGAGCGAACAGG
rnacentral:rRNA from 1 species